AACGAACGUUAGCGGCGCGCUUAACACAUGCAAGUCGUGCGAGAAAGGGCUUCGGCCCCGGUACAGCGGCGCACGGGUGAGUAACACGUAGGUACUCUGCCCCCAGGUGGUGGAUAACCUUCCGAAAGGAGGGCUAAUACAGCAUAAGACCACGGGUUCGAAAGGGCUUGAGGUCAAAGCCGGCCUCUUCACGAAAGCUGGCGCCAGGGGAUGAGCCUGCGGCCCAUCAGGUAGUUGGUAGGGUAAUGGCCUACCAAGCCAAAGACGGGUAGCUGGUCUGAGAGGAUGAUCAGCCACACUGGAACUGAGACACGGUCCAGACUCCUACGGGAGGCAGCAGUGGGGAAUCUUGCGCAAUGGGCGAAAGCCUGACGCAGCGACGCCGCGUGAGUGAUGAAGGCCCUCGGGUUGUAAAGCUCUGUGGAGGGGGACGAAUAAGUGUUGGCUAAUAUCCAGCAUGAUGACGGUACCCCUUUAGCAAGCACCGGCUAGCUCUGUGCCAGCCGCCGCGGUAAUAC
rnacentral:rRNA from 1 species